rnacentral:rRNA from 1 species
GGUAUGAUGCGUUUCGUCCAUGGCCCACAAAGUCAUGAGUGCGGUACGCGUCUACCAUCCUGUUAGAAAUCGGCUCUGCCCUUUACUGGGUUGGGGUCGGGAUCUAACUCUUUUACUUUGAAAAAAUUAGAGUGUUUAAAGCAGGCUUGUGCUCUGAAUACAUUAGCAUGGAAUAAUAAUUUAGGACUCCGUUUCUAUUUUGUUGGUUUCUAGAAAUGAAGUA